rnacentral:rRNA from 1 species
UGAGGAAUAUUGCCCAAUGGAGGAAACUCUGAGGCAGCAACGCCGCGUGAACGAUGACGGCCUUCGGGUUGUAAAGUUCUUUUCUCAGGGAAGAUAAUGACGGUACCUGAGGAAUAAGUCCCGGCUAACUACGUGCCAGCAGCCGCGGUAAAACGUAGGGGACAAGCGUUAUCCGGAUUUACUGGGCGUAAAGCGCCCGUAGGCGGCUUGAUAAGUUGGACGUGAAAGCUCCCGGCUUAACUGGGAGAGGCCGUUCAAAACUGCCAAGCUAGAGUGAGGAAGAGGAGAGCAGAAUUCCCGGUGUAGUGGUGGAAUGCGUAGAGAUCGGGAGGAAUACCAGUUGCGAAAGCGGCUCUCUGGUCCUAAACUGACGCUGAGGGGCGAAAGCGUGGGGAGCGAACGGG